AAGCAGCAGCAUCCCCUGGGAGGGUCUGCCAUUUGGACCCUCUGUUCCCCUCAGAAGGGAGUUGCCUGCAAGUGUAACCCAUGUUUUCACUCUCUGGAGGUGGUCAUGACACAGGGUUUGGUCUUUCUGCCCAUGGCAACACCUCUGGCUUGGGUGGGUCAUCACCCCAUGGAGCAUUGACUGGCCUUGUACAUUCAGAGCCUCUAACCCGUUGUACUGGGGCAUCUGGGCAGGCGAGGUGGGCAAGGAGGGGGUGUUACUCCAUUCACUCAUUUCCCUUAAGCUGCCAUUUUCUGCCUAGCAGGGCAAGGACACACAACUCCUUCGAUCUUACUUUUUUUCCUGGUGCCUGUUCCUGUCUCAGGUAGGGCAGAGCAUGGUUCCUCCAGUCUCUCUUUCUCAGACUCCCCAGUGCUCCUUAAUCUUUUGAGUUCCUCCCACAGCUCUGCUCCUCAGUUUGGGCUGAGCACAUCACCCACCUCCUCACCCCUCACACAGCUCUUCUCACCACGCCCAUGAAGGCUCUGGCACGUCCUUUGUCUGCCUCUUCUGGGAGCUUUGCCAGGGCUGCUACAAUUGUCCUGGUCAGUGCAGAGGACACGGCUCUGCUGAGGGGACAGCCCAGAAGGUCAGUGUGGAGGACACGGACACAGCUCUGUGCUGGGUCCCCACAGCCCAGAAGGUCAGUGUGGAGGACAUGGACACGGCUCUGCUGAGGGGACACUACAGCCCAGAAGGUCAGUGUGGAGGACACGGACAUGGCUCUGUGCUGGGUCCCCACAGCCCAGAAGGUCAGUGUGGAGGACACGAACACAGCUCUGUGCUGGGUCCCCACAGCCCAUUUCAUUCCCUCAGGGUGCUGGUGGCCCUGAGCCCUCACGAGAGCUGCCGCCCUGAGGGGAGUUGCACACUCGGGCCUCACCUUCCCUGUCAAACAUCUUUCAGUACUUUAUUUAUUUAUUUAGUAUCGGCUACCUCACCCUAAGAACACCCAGCAGGAAGAGGUGUUAGCAUUCAUGUCGCGAUUCAAGCUGUUUAAUUGCCAGCUAGAUACAGAUGCAGCCCGAGUCAUGUUCUGUGGAAGGACAGCUCAGAUGAUUAAACCCGGAGCCGUUUCACAGUCAUUUCACAGCUCCCUCGGCUAGGCCGCGAUUUUUUAUGCCUUUCAGAGUACUUGGAGAAGGAAUUUAAUGACAUUGCCAUACUUAGAGUGAAAAGGGCACGGUAAUUAGUUCAAAGCAUGAAAGGAAUUGGAUUUCAUAAUGUCAAAUUUUUGACUGCAUAGUGCAUAAUGCAUAAAAAAAAGGAAAUUAUAACUCUCUGUUCGACAAAACCAAAAAACGAUCGUUGGAGCUGAUGUGAAAACUUCCCCUUGAGUUUCUGCGGAGUAAGACAGGAGUGAAAAUGCCUGGGCUACAACACAAACAUGCCCUGUUGCCAAGCCCCAGGCCCUGGUUGAGGUGCCAGGACAGAGGCCCCUGGGCCAUGAGGGCACAGCAGGGCCGGGCACAGCCCAGCAAGGGCUCCUGUGGCACAUCAGGGCUCUUGGGCCACUCUGCUGGCAAAGCAACACAGAUCCCAGGGCAGAAUGAAUCCACUGUAGAAAUACACACUGUGGAGCCUUCCCUUGGGGAAAGUGAAGUCCUAGCUUAUACUAAAUCUCUGUUUGAAUGACCAACAUUACCCAGGGUCUAAGCAAUCCAAUGCAAUAUGCAAUUACUAUGAACAAAUAACCAAUUUUGGCCUUCUGUGUACAUGAUUGAUUUAGAUAUUUAGUUGCAUAUGUAAACAUAUUUUACAUACGUUUAGUUUAUUGUGUAAUAAAACCUCAUUCAUAAUAUAAUUAACUAAGCACUUCAGAAGUAGGAGAAUGAUGCCCGGCUCUUAUGCAGCAGUUAUCUGAACCUCAGGCUUUCAGGAAUCACGUGCUAAUGCCUUUUAAGGAAAAAAAGAGAAAUCUAGAGUGGUGAAUCAAUUUUAGAUUCUUUAUUCGUUGAGUUCAGAGCUUUUUUAAACCCCACCCAACAGUGGUAAAAUCUAAAACAUUUUUUAGAGAGGCUCAAGAUUCUGUGUAAAUAACUGUUUCCAACAGCUAAAAAAAUAAAACUCCAUGAGUACCAAGAACAAGCCAGGAAGGAGACAUGUAAUCACAUAAAAAAAGGAGAACUCUUACCACUAGGAAGUGUCAGUUAGAGCAAGCAACAGGGAUAGCAAAACUAAUCUACCAGUUCUACAAGUCACCCUUUACUCCUUACAUCAUUCAUCACCUCCAUCAUUCACAUACAAAAUAAGUAAAAGUAAUAAUAACUCUUCUGGUUCCUUGUAGAAGAAUUUAAUGGAACUAAUUGUUGUUGUAAAGUUCUGUAGAAAUUAUUUCUAAAAGAAACUUUAUAUAAAGCAAGAUAUUACUCAUGUUAGAGCACACACAUAAAAUCCAUUACUGCCACAUCUUUUUUAGGUCAUUUUGUUGGUCAUGAAUUCUCGUACUAUUUGAUGUUCUGCAUAUUUUCUAAGGAGCCCUACCUCUUAAUAUGCAUCAAGCUACUUUUUCAGAUUCUCACAAAUUAUAGUUUGUUUUGGGGUGUGUAUUUUUCUUUUAGAGAGGGGAGGGGAGAGGAGAGCAUAAUGCAUUUUGCAGUGACCUAUGAUGAACAACAAUAUUUUUGCAGCUGCUAACCUCCUCCACCUCUCUUUUUAAAUGUCUUCAAUUUCUUAAAGGAAAUUGUGAAGUCUUAAGGAUUUUGAGGUACACCAAAGCUCUUCCAUGGACUCAGAUACUCUUCAUCUAAUUUAUGAGCUUUUGUCUCAAUUAUACAUACAAACCAGGUAAGUGCAAAUUCAACUGAUUAACUGCUGAAGUAUAAACCUGACUAACAUCAACCAGAAUUAACUGCUAAUGCAAGUUGAGCAACAGGCAAUUUAUAGAGAAAAGAGCCCCCCUUUCACUUCCUUCAGAGAAGGAAGAAUCAACAUUCCACAGCAGUCCUGCUUUAAGAAACAGUUUUUAUCACAGUCAGAGAAGCAGGAGGGAGUGAGGGGAGAAAUGAUGAUCAGGCUAAACAAUUAUCUCAGAAUUCAGGCUUCAGCCUGGAGCAGAUGAUGUCAGAACUGUGUGCCUGUAUGGAAAAUAAACUGAAGAAUCAGAUGGGUCUACUCACAGACAGAGAACCUUUCCAAUGGGAGACCAGCUGCAACACACGUAAUACAAGUCAUGACUCUGCAUCUGUGCUUCCUGCUGCUAGAGGAUUAACUGAAGGUGGGAAACAAAAGAAGGACACUGACAUACUACACAGAUCCCUUUCUAUCCAAAUUGACACUGACCAAAACAUGCUGUGGGUCAGUAGAGACUGCAUUGUGCUAAGGAAAAAUUGGUUUUCAGUGAGCUGAUGUACAAUGAACAGGACUGAGAAAUGAUGACCUUGUUCUGAGUGACAGCACUGGCUUGGGGGAUCAGAUGGUAAGAGGACUGCUUAAAAAAAACACACUUAAACACAGGAAUUCAGGCCUCAGAAAAGUUCUAUGACAGGCUGACUAAGCAUUUGUAAAGAAUGAAUCCCUUGGCUCCAGAGCAGUGCAGAAAAUGCUCCCCUGCCCUGUAGAAAUCUGGGAUUUAACUUUCUUUUUAACUUCAAAAAGGAAAAAAGGAGAAGCAGACAGACAGACCAAAAGGAGUCCAGAGUUGAAGGCUGGCCAGUUGGCAGCUCUUGAGCCACAGGCAGUUUGCAAGACACUCACGUCUCAUCCCCUUGCAGUGCUGACCAAGGGAUGCAGCGAAGCCCUGCUGACAGAGGGACUGAGAAGAAUUCAAAUCACCCAGCAAGUAAGCCAAGUAAGUACUAAAACCAACAGCAGCAGGAUCAACCAUUACCUGGAAACCAGAAGCAAUAUUAAAACAAAAAAUGAGAAACCUUUGAGAUCUUCUUUCUAUAAAUUCUUCUUUUGUCUCCAAAUAAUGUGAUGCAAAAUCCUGUGGCUCUGUUUUAUACCUGAGUUUUGGUAGGUGGUCCUCAAGUCAGAAAUAAGUCAUCUGCCCCCCAGAGAUCUGUCAGUUUAAUUGAGGAUAUGGAAAAGCAAUAUUCAAACCUAGCAGAGAAAGAAACUGAACCUAAGGGCUCUUGCAUGUAGGAGAACAGGUAGGGAGAAGGUUGCUCACUGGGCUAGAGGUUUAUUGGGCUCUAGUCAAAGACAAAUUGGAUUUAUCAGCAAAGUAUUUCUUCUAGAUUAGAGAUUAAAUAAGUAGGGCUGCAACAAGAAAGAAACUCUUCAUCCAUAAAAGCUGAAGGCUAGAAAUGAAGCAAGAAUUCCCUUGUUUUGAAUUUUGUUGCAUCCCUGGAAUUUGAAAUCUGCAGUUUUCCUCAGUUUGCUAGGCCUUGUGUGCUGCUUCUGUUUAGUAUAGCUGGGUAUUGAACCCUGUUGUGACCCAGUGAUUCAUUACAUUGAACACUUAUGUAUUAUUACCCUCCUCACUUUUGAUAUGAAGAACAACAGGUAAGAGCCAACAUCUUGGCUGGUUUCCUAAUACUGACACAGAAGGAAUGCACAAGCCUGCUGCUUGGAAACUUGAAACUGGAGCCACAGGAACCAACCCAGCUUUGUGAUUUCACCUGCAGUGCAAACACCUUAGAUUAUCAUCAUCUCUUCAGAAACACUUGAAAGAGUGUACUGACAUAGUGCACAUCUUAGGUAAACUCUAAUUACAAAAAGAGGCAGAAGGAAUAUGGUGUCAGGGUAGAAGAAGCAGGCAACCGAAAAUCAGGACCCAAAGGGCUGCUGUGGGGAGUUGGCUUUUGGGGAGCACAGGCAGGAGGGUAUAAAGGAAAAGAGAGCCAUGGAAUAAACUGCUCACACAUACACAUUACACCUACUCUGCUCCUGAAGAGCAAGGACAUUUUUCAUAUAUGAAACAGGAAAUAAUGUAUUUGGCUAUUCCAGUGAAACGUCUGAUUGUUCAGUUGAAAAGUAGCACACCUAUAAUAGGAACCAUAACAUUGCAAGAACCAAGAAUAGCAUAAAUAGUGAAGAAAAGAUUUACUAAUUCCAGUGACCAGUAUUUCUGCUGUGUGCCCCGAGAGUUCCCAGUCAAUGCAGAAGUUUUGCUGAGGUGGAGGGUCUUUGAAUUACUACUGAUAGUACAACAAGCAUGUGAAAAAAAAGCCCUGAUAAAGGCAAUGAUGUACCUUUGGCUCACAGAUGGAAGCAAUACAAAACCAUCUCGGGACUAAGCCUUGCCAAGCUCUGAAACACUGCUGCAUUAAGAGGCAAAUGCUAAAGGUAUAUGUCCUCAAUGGAAAUUGCAGAAAGAAUGUAUUUAUAACUUAUAUAUAUACAUAUAUAUAUGUAUAAAAACUGCUGAGAAAUGUUCCUCUGUCGAACAAUGGAAAUAUUUAAAGUGGAAUCCUCUGGGGGGUGGUGCUCUAAACUUAAUUAAAAAUAUAUUUACUAUUAUCAGUUUGGUUAAUAAGAUUGGAGGGUAGUUAUAAAAUCUGCUUGUGACACGCACUUUAGAGCUUCUGCAAACAUUUCAGAGGACAAGAUGAGAAUUCAAAAUGAUCUCGACAGGUUGGAGAGAAUGUAAACUCAACAAAGUUAAAUUCAAUAAAGGUAAGUGUAAAAUGCUCUACAUUUAGGAAGGACAAAAGAAAUGCACUAAAGCAAAAUGGGGACCAUCUGGCAAGGCAGCAGUUCAGCAGAAAAACAUCUAAAGCUUAUGGUGAAUUAAUAACAUGAUGCUCAAAUAGAAAAGACUAAUCUCUUUCUGGGAGGCAUUGCUACAGGAAUUAUAUGUAAGACACAGGUGCAAUAUAUUGCACUCGUCUGAGAAAUCAGCAUUGUGUUUCCAGGUUGGGGAACCAGGUGAGACAGAAGUAGAAGAAUUGGAGAGAUUCUGAAAGAGCAGGACUAGCAAGAGACACAAAACUGGCAGAGAAACUAAAUAUGGGACUGUCUAGAAUGUCCUAUAACACAGAGCAUCCAGAGUUAUGUAAAAGGUGCCCCUGCAAAAGAGGUUUCACAAUACAAAUGAAUCUUAUUUAGGGACAGAGAAUUAGGACAUCUUUAUCCAGACUGAUAGAGGAAUAAUCAGCCAUGCAUAUAAAAGGUUACUAACUUUAAUUUAACACAAAAACUAAUUGAACUUCAGGAAAAGGCAGUCAAUGUUUUCCCUCAUAAAUGUAUAAAAAUAAAACUGUCCAUGAAGAAGGAACAACUCCUACACUUUGUAAAGCCUGUUUAGUACAUACUGCAAUAUUUUCAGAGGGGAGGCAAUUUAAUAGAAGAGAGUGAGGUAUCCCUAAUUGCUAAUAAUCAAAAAGAGUGGGACUGUUUGUAUUUGAGAUGAUCCCAAGGUUACUGUUAUCCAAAACUUUCUGACAUGUUCUUUCCUUGUCGUAAUUUAGAGAAUGGCUUUGCCCCCCUUUCUGUGGUCAGCACGUCUUCAGUCUGGGUGAAAUCAGCCUCCAGCUUUUCCUUGUGUUGGCUUUUGAACAGGCAAGGGAGAGAAGGAGCUGAAGGCUCUGUGGGCAUUGGCACAGGGCUGCAGUUCCCCUUGCAGGGACACUCUGCUGCAGAGCCACUGCCAGUGCAAGAACUGCAGCCCCUAAACCUCCUUGGUGAGCCUGCCUAGUUGUGAAGGAAACCUGCAGGUACAGGAGGAUCCAUCAAAUCCUUUUAAAUAAACAUGGAAUGCCAGGCUUAGCUGAGUAUACUGUUAUGCCAGCAGGCUUCUUAAACCCAAAGAUAACAUUUAAAAUUCUGCAAGAUUAUAUAAGCCAAUAUUCUGGCCACUUAUGUUACUAUCAUUUGGUCAGUUUAAUCUCUUUUUUCUUUUUUAUCCUAGACAAACUAGUCUAUUUUCACGAGCAAACCAGUUAUAUUAGCUGGUGUUAGGCACUAAGCUAUCUUUUUAUUUCAUUCCAUUCCUGCUUUGACCAUUUCAGGGACCUCAUCAGGCGAAACAGAGCCCACUAACUCACUGAAACUUCUCAGUUUGUAAUGCUGACCAGCUCUGAAAUCAAAGCUCUUUCUGGUUAGCACAGACCUGGGGAAAAAGGGAUUUGUGUAUGCUGAUGCACAUUUUUUGAGAGCAGAAAAAUAGGUUAUUGCUGUUCCACUGCAAGUGGAUUAUUAAUCUUCCUGUGAAUUUACAAUACUCAAACAUUGACCAAGGAAAUAUUGGAGAUAUUUAUGAGCAUAUAAUUCCAGAGAAAAACGUGCUCUGUUUCAUUGCUGGGAUCCAGAAUAUACUCCUUCACAAGGAUUCAGCAUUAGAAAGAAGUUCUUUGUAUCUUCCUUUCUCCCUGUGACACAUCAGCCCAUUUCCAUAUGGUGUGUCUCAUUAUAUGGGUUCUAAUUUUCCACUGUCUUCUAGUGCACUGUUGACACUGAAUGAUGAUACAACAAAAAUAUUACUUUCUUAGGAUCAUACUUGAGAGGCAGAUGCUGCUUUGCUGCAAAUCAGCACAUCAUCAACAAUAAAUUAUCCUGCUACUAUCUGUACUAUAAGGGGAUAGGAAGGGGUGGAAUUAUUAAGAAUCAAUCAAAGCCUCUGCUUGAGACCCUUAUCCCCACUUCUCAUUCUGUCCAUUGGGAAAAUAACCUACUAAAAGCUAAAGGGAUUCUCUCAGGUGACAAGAAUGGACUUCACUCUUUCAAUUUUAUCUUCAAUAAUAAAGAUUUAAAUUAACUUUGGAGUGUACAAAUAUUAUUCCUGUGAUCCUCUGGGAGCAGCACACACAAUAUCCCCUGAAAACUGCACUCCCAGAAUUCAAAAUUUAAUUCAUAGCACAAUGGCUCCUUCAGGACAAAAUGCCAGACUCCUGAAAGCCUUAGCACUCUCUCUGCUCUGCUGCUGAAGGAUUGCUAUUCCUGGAAGAUUUCAGCUCUGUAAGAUAAGUGUUAAUACAUUCUUUCUGCAGGUCUCCGGGGCCUGAAGUUUGAAUUUAAUGUGAACUGAAUAAAAUCAUUUGCUUUUAAUCAGCAUGGUCCAUGAACCGUGGUUUGAGGCCAAUAUGUGACUCUAAGGUAAAUGAGUUUAGCUCCAACUCCCUAAUCCCCAGAUAAGAUCAUAAAAUCACCACACAUCACUCAGCACUGUUUAGCAGAAAAUGCCUGCCUCUGUAGUAAUAACAAACCCCCUGAAUUAUAGUUGCUGGCGUCUCAAAGAUGAUGGCUCUUGCAGGUUCAGGUGAAGUACGUGAUUCUGUGUGGGGAGGGUGGAGCGCUGCCAGCACAGCACAAUAACCUCCAUUUCACACUGAUAUUUGAUUUCUGGAAAUCUACUUAAAAAAUAAACCAUCCUCUUGCCCACUCUUUCUCUUUUAAACACCACAAUACGCAUCCUUUUAUACGUAAUAAUUCUGAGUUGAAACUCAUGCUCUGCCACAGGUAAAAUUCCAGAAUCAACGUGGGAGUAACUCCUGCUGUGGAUUGUUGUAAUAACAAAUUUAGUUAUGAUUUAUUCUGUUUAUUCACAUUCAAACGUGGAAACUCAAAUGCAGAGACAGUUGAUGAAACAAUUAGUGUUUUCUAUAAAAUUCAUAAAAUCACAUUUUAUGAGGAAAAGACUCAAAUCUGCAACAGCCAAGUGUCCCUGUUCAUAUGAAUUCACUGUUAUUUCAAAUAUUGAUGCCACCUCUCUUGAUUACUUGCCACUAAUUUGACUAAAUGGAAAAUUUAGUAGCAAGAACUUCUAUCAAGCAACUGAGGGCAAAUCAAUAGCAAGAAUUUCACUAAAAUAGACAAGUAUAUAUAAAUUUCACCUCCCCAGCAUGCAGAGAUACUGCACAUCUAACAGCAUAAAGCUGGCAUGGAGUAGAAACAACCAGUGUAACAAACCCUCCUGUUUAAUAGGUAGAACCUCACCAAAUGGAACACUUCUGUCAAUCUAAUGGAAUAAUCUUGCAUGAGAAAUAUCCCUGAGAGAAAAUGAGGAGGGAAAAUACUCUGAACACACUAUUUCUUACAAUUUCUUCACAAAAGUCUGUGAGAUCCUUUAAGAUUCUUCACACAGUAAAGGAUGAACUCAGCAGAAGACUCUCAAUGUUUUUCUCUGAAGCAAGUUUCAGUAUUUUGCAUUUUAUCAUGUUAUCUUUUCAAGAACCUUUUCUUCAAGGUGAAUAGACUACGAAACAAACACACAGUUAACAGUGUGAUAAGAGUUUAAAGAGCAGCAAAUAGACAUAAGCCAAUAAAUUCAUGAAUGCCAACGUUGCUCAGAUAUUUUUUGUACAAUUUAAGCUACUACAAUCAAGCACAUCCUGCUCGGGUGAGCUCUUGAGUGCCAUACUAAAUUCAGAAUCCUUCCAUUAUUAAGGUGCAGGUAGAAUAGCUCCAGAUUUACCAAAAGCAGAACAGAAUUUGUUCACAGACAGUGUUGUAAAAGCUUAAUUUAAGAUUCAACACAACCCCAGUGCUUUAAAACCAUAGGAUUUGCCAGUUUGAGUAGAGUCCUUGAUUAAUCUGCACAAGCAGCAAACCAGUCUAGAACGUGAACAGAGCUAUCUCACAGCUGUCCACAUCUUACUGUGACUAUUAAUUCAGAGUUAAUUAGAAACAUAUUUAAACUAAGUAUAUUAAUCAAAGAAAUCUGAAGUUAGAGUCGCUAAGAAAAUAGUUAUACUGUUUAAACUAAACUCAUACAAAUCAGUGUGUAGAUUAGUUUUAACAGUUUGUAUAAUUCUCAUUUGAAGUCAAGUGCAGAGAAUUAUCUGACACCACCUCUCACAAAAAAAAAAUAAAUCAAAAGCAGUUUUGAUUUGGCACAGAAUUUUUAGGCAAGGGUGCCAAAUCCUGAAAAUAUGUUGGGGCUAUCCAUUCAUGCAUACCUAUUUUGCACAGUAGUAAAUACUGUAUAAAUCUCUCUUAAAAAAAAUCCCAAACCAAACCAAUUGGUGAUAUUUAAAUAGGAAUUCAGAGUUAGACAGUGGUAUUUUAAGAAUAUGUGACUUUACCCCUUGGAUUAGAGCAAACACACAGUAAUCUGAAAACAUGUUCAUACUCAGUGAUUCACUAUUAAGUAUGAAUAUAUUAUUAUCACAUUGCUAAUCAUUCCAUGCAGAUGUGCUGCAGCAUUUCCUUCCAGAAGGGCUCACAGAGAGUCCAGCCCAGAGGUUUUCAGUGCCCUUUUUCCUGGUUCCUUUCUGACAAACAAGAACACGAUCAUCGUUGCCUUUGCCUUGUUUCAAGCUGAAUCCCUUGAUUUGGUUUCUCCCUUCGUACUCCAUCACCUCCCCUCCCUUGUUUGACCUCCUUCUGUGGAACUUUUGAGUCUACAUUUUUUGCCCUUUCGACAUUUAUUCGCUUUUGUUUCCAUGCUUGAAUUUGUACAUUUGCUGCCUACACACUGCACAUGGCAAAAUUCUCCACCCUAUGCACGUUCCUGCUGCUGACCCUGUGCCCAGGUGUGUUCUCUGCAAUGAGGAGCUGUGGGGCCAGGAACAACCACAGGGCACGGGGCAACUGCAUUAGAGAACUCUCCAAUGACAGAUGGGAGCAAAACGCUUUGAAAUCCCAACUUUUCACAGAUGGGGGGAAAACCUCUGUUAAUACCAAAUGUAUUGACUGACUCAGAUAAACCAAGCUGUCAGGCAACAAGAAUGUUUAGAAUAUAGUGAUGCACGGACAGGAGCAAAGCCUCAAAAAUGCAGGGAUUUUUUGUAACCUCUCUAUUGUGUAUUCCAGCUCGGAGCUAAAACAUUCAUAAUACCCACCAGCACUAACUGAUAUUAACUCUGCUAAAGUGGUUUCUUCUACAUUUGGUUUUGGGAUGGGGAAGAGACAGGGAUUUUUUUUGUUUGCUUGGUUUUUACACAGCAAGAACUGACUUGGUCCUGGCUAAAACUUUAGCGCCACUGAAAUAUUGUCAGGGUUAUAUUUGGAUGCCAAAUCCAUCAAAUCUGAAGUGGCAAGAAACAACUUCACAGCAUUUAUCUCAGGUAUGGCAGCAGAACACGAACACAGGGGAAUAAGGAAUACUUUCUUUCAAAUGCAAACCUACGUGGAGCAGGUAAAGUUUUGUCAUCUGACAAGAGACCUGCCUGCCAUUCAGUGCAUGUUUGCAGUAGUAAAUGGGAACAUAUCCUAUCUUGCCUUGUGGGACAGUUUGGGUUUAGAUUCAUAGGGAUAAGCAGACAAUGCAUGCUUGUUGACUAACAAGACAGGAAAUAGCAGCAAAGGUACCAUUAAUUCCCUGCUGUUUUAAACGGGCUCCAAACAAUAAAGGACAAAGCAUUGAGCAUGUCAGGCUGUUUGGCUGUGGACAGGACUGGGUGCUCAGUGAUGCUGCUGCAGAGAUAAUUGGCACUGGAACACAGGCUGAAGGACCCAAAGCAAUGGAACGAGAAACACUGACAACAAUUGCCAAGUGGGAACCAGGGACUGCUAUUGUAAUACCUAAAAAAUAAAAACUGUCUUGAUAGCAAGUUAGAACAAAAAAAUAUUUCAAUUGCUCAAAGAAAUGUGACCUCUGCUCUGAUUUGGAAGGACUGAAAUCAGUACAUGGCCAGAAGUGGAUAUUUGGGCUCCUACACAACAGGGAUUCGAGGAGGCAGUUAUGUACCUCAAAAAUGCAGAAGCCUGUAAGGUGUUUUUCUUUGAGCUGAUAAAUUAGAUUUCAAGGAUAGUAUUUGGGUGUCAGGCACACAGAGCCAUGGGCUUUGAAAUCCAGAUGUAACAUGCUUGACAUGAAGAUGUAGUUCUGUGACAGCCAGUUGCAAACAUAAAACAAGCCUUCAGAACAGGAGACAAGGGAAAACAUUGGGAACACUCAAGAACAACUAUAAAAUACUUUUCCCAGGAAGAGCAUUUAACACAUUGUUAUUGUAGAUUUACAAGAAGAAUUUAAAUUAUUAGUAGGAAUGAUAAUGUGGAGAAGACAUUGAAGAGUUAUGAAGGAAGAAGAUUGAUCCAUGUGAUCUUUUCUGCUUCUGCCAUAAAUGAUCUGAAGUAAAAUGAUGUAACUGAAAGUUCUCUCUUGAUUAGGGGUUAGAGGUUUGUCUAAUUAAAGAAUCACAAAAUCAUUCAGGUUGGAAAAGAACUUUAGGAUCAUCAAGUUCAACCAUUAUAAUAUAUUAUAAAUUAUGAAUGAUUGUACCUCAGACAAAACAUCACAAACAAUGAUCAGAGCUAAGAUAUGGAAUAUAAAUGGCCUCCAUGGAUGUCUUAUUUGAUUUGCAUAUUUUCAAAUUAAAAAAAAAUGUGAAAAUAUGCUCUGCUGGGAUUCAUUCCCAAGCCUCCAAGAUUAACCAGGUUGCCCUCUAAAGCCUUUGACAUAUUCCUGCCCAUGAAAAAAACCCACUUUACUGAAAACAAAUACCCACAAGACAAAUUCUUCCAGAGCCAUGUAGGAGUCAGAAACUGUUGAUCAAUAAGUGGAUGUGCCCUAAACACAUCUUUAACUGAAUUAAAAGGGAACCCUCACACACCUUGCCAACCUCUAUGUAAAUGUCUCCUACAAAAAUAUGCAGCAGGCUAUGAGCUGGCAGACAGGGCUGAACUGAAUGUAAUUUUUCUGGUGUGCAGAGCCAGCUCGUUCUUUUUUUCCCAUGUUACUGAUCCUGUUGCUGCCUGAUAAGCAAAUUAUAUUUCUCACAAUUGCUAUGUAAAACAUGUAAUUAGCAUUCCAGUGCACCAAAUUGCUGCCAGCCCACUCCACUGGUUUGAGAUCUAGGAAUACUCGACUGAUUAAUGCUUCUGAUACUGAUUUCAGACCAUCCCUACAAUUAAGUUGCUACUUUGCUAUUUCACAGUGAUGGUAUAAAAGGUGGGUGAUAGUUUGGAGGAAAAAAAGCUCUAUUAAACUAGAGCUUUGAUGGGAAAUAUGUGGGAAAGCUGAUUUACCCUUGACUUGGCUGGUGUCUGUCUUUGAUAAAUGAGGAACAGCAGAAGAAAUCCUCUUAAGUCAGAAACCUGAAAUGUCUUUGAUUCUUUUUUCUUAAUGGUGGGCCAACAUGUUAAUUAUUGGAGUGUGUUUUGCCGAGAAAAAACAGUUUUAUUUUUAUAUAGAGAAUAUCACUGUGAGGUCAAGUAAAUAGCUUAGUAAUAGUUGGACAACUACCCUGAGAUAUAUAUGUCACACACGUAAGAAAUAGUACUCAGGACUUAAACUAACACAUGCAAUUCAUGAAUGGGUGCUAAAGAAUGAUGCUUCAGAGCUGUUUUCCAACUUCACCUUGCAACACCUGCAGCUCAUUGUUUCCAGCAGGACAGGGUGAGAGUAGGAGAACUCUUGACUUCUGUUGUAACUGAUUCUUUCAAUGAUUUUGUGACUGUUCAGAAGGACAGAUUUAAAUCUGGCAGACUAACUAAUUAAACAAAUAUGUUAACUAGGCUUUUGCUAAAAAGUUGCCAGCCAGCAACCUGGCUAAAUUGUGUUUUGUUCAUUACAACAGGGACUUUUUUUCUUGCACUGUCUUUUAUUUUUAAAACUUGGUUAGAGUCCUCUUUGAGAAUGGCAUGAUAAUAAUGUGAUGAACACAGUGUCUUCACAGACUUUGCCUUUGCUAAUAAUUCAUGUCUGGAGUGUCCUAAACUUACCAAGUUGAUUGUCAUACUGAGUAUGACAACUCAAGUUUUACAACAUAAAGACAUAAAUGGUUUGUACUAACAGACCUUGAAAUCUAAAUCUGAUCCGUUGGUCCCCCAGUAAACUUUGUAAUAUUCAGAAGGAAGGAACUGAAGGUCAGGAAACCAAAUCUGAUUUUGAAGCUCACCUCCAAACCCUUGCAUUUCCUGAAACUGAGUUCACCAAUAAAAUUGAUUAGUUACCACGAUUUAUUAAAUAGGCAUUAAAGGUAUGAUGCCUUACAUUGCUCUACAGUGGACAGAAUGCUUCUAGAUUUUACUUAACUAACAGAUAAAACAUCUUAACUCAGACUUGAUAUAUGCCAUAAUUUUACCUGCAGGGAGUAAUUCAAUUUAUGGUUUCCAACACAGCUCAGUAGCAGUGAUGCCAGAACUGAAAAACUGGCCCUGGCACAGUGUAAUUGGGGCCCUCCUGUGCUGCAGUCACUCACCCUUAGAUGAGGAGGGGGGGCUCUCUCACAUCCCGUGGCAGAGCCCACACCAGGACACAGUUUAACCUGCCCCCAAGAGAAGGACUCCAACCAACCUCUGAAGGAUUUUUGUGUGGCUACUGAGGCACACCAGGACAGGACACAGGAGAAAAUUACUUGUAUGAGGGACAAGCUUCUAAUUGUCUAAUGCCCAAAUGCAACCCCCUCUAAUAUGGAGAGUGGUGAAGGAGAAAAAGUCAGCCACCAAGUAGAAAUAAAUCUCACUACAUGAUCUGCCCAAGGCUACAGCAGACCCUCAGUUGAUGUGCAGCACCUCUUAAUGUAACACACAAUGGAAGGGCAAUAACAAGAAUUCAGAAGUACAGGAAGACUCCCUGAGUGGUACAGCCACUGUAAGAAAAGAACUAUGUUCGUGAUUCCAUGGAGUGUCAACAUUAGGGACUGACCAAGGCUGGCAAUAUCAGCAGGCUGAUGUUUGCCAAGUGUCCUGAAGAUGGGAAGCUGUGGCUGAAGGCUGGAGUUUGGGGGGGGGCACUGGCAUCAAUAAAUUGCUCCUUCAGUUGACAUAAAGCAGCAAAGGAAUGAAGUCCUCUGGCAGUAUCUGUUACACACCUCGAGGGGCACAGCCUGGGCUUCAACACUGGUUGCACACCCUUGCUCCUACAAACCAUCACCCUGACACUUCCAACUCCCACACAAAUAAAUUAGAAAAAUAAUUACAUGCAAUAAUCCUUCUAGAGCCAGCAUCAUCUGGAUUGGGUGAGUGACCCCAGAGAUCUUGUUACACAUUCACAUCAUUCACAAUACAUUAAUCUUGCUGCCAGUAAAAGUAAUUGCUUAAGAAUUAACUUGGGUAUUUAUAAAGGCCCUCUAUCCUUCAUGUCAUUUAGUGAGCCUUGCAAAAGAUACAGUAAGAAAAGGGACAUUUGGAUUAAAAAAGAAAAUAGUGUUGGAAUAGUGGGAAUCUGCCACAAGUAAAAAAGAAAUCUAAACAUAAAGUGCUACAGUAAUCUGUAAACUGGGUCUUUGUCUCUCCACAACGUUGAUAGGUAAUGAACACCAAAAUCUCUUAAAUGUUUUGAAGAAAAAAGGUACUAAACAAUAAGGCCUGGAUUUUAGACAAAUGGAGUAUGUAGCCCCAAUAAUCCAGGCCUGAAACAGAAGGUUUAACGGGCAGAAAUACCUCAGUAGAGGAGUAGUUGAGUCUAUUUUUCUGAGGAUAAUGUGUGACUACAAUACUGCAAUAAAGAAGUCAUUUAGUUGCAUAUAAGCUGUCUGAAACCUUGGCAAGUUUGCCAUGCAUUGUAUAAUGCAGGGCAUUCAUUUUAAUUCUGCUUCCAUCCAGAACUGGUGAAUGGUGUUGAUGUUAUGAAUGAAAUGAACAUAAAUUUGUUUCUCCUGUUUUUUUAAAUACCAAUUCGCGUCAUUAUCUCUGUCACAGCCACCAACAUCUUGUGCUAUGAUAUGUACCCUUGGUCUUUUAAUAAGGAGAAAAUGCGUAAGAAAUAUUCCAAGAAGAAUUCACAGACCUUUAGUCCAGGAAACAGGAGAGAGAAGGGAAGGGAACAAGCUCAGAGGGCACUGCAGGCUGGACUCCAAGGGCA